rnacentral:rRNA from 1 species
GAUGAACGCUGGCGGCGUGCCUAAUACAUGCAAGUCGAGCGAACAGACGAGGAGCUUGCUCCUCUGACGUUAGCGGCGGACGGGUGAGUAACACGUGGAUAACCUACCUAUAAGACUGGGAUAACUUCGGGAAACCGGAGCUAAUACCGGAUAAUAUAUUGAACCGCAUGGUUCAAUAGUGAAAGACGGUUUUGCUGUCACUUAUAGAUGGAUCCGCGCCGCAUUAGCUAGUUGGUAAGGUAACGGCUUACCAAGGCGACGAUGCGUAGCCGACCUGAGAGGGUGAUCGGCCACACUGGAACUGAGGCACGGUCCAGACUCCUACGGGAGGCAGCAGUAGGGAAUCUUCCGCAAUGGGCGAAAGCCUGACGGAGCAACGCCGCGUGAGUGAUGAAGGUCUUCGGAUCGUAAAACUCUGUUAUUAGUGAAGAACAAAUGUGUAAGUAACUAUGCACGUCUUGACGGUACCUAAUCAGAAAGCCACGGCUAACUACGUG